AGAGUUUGAUCAUGGCUCAGGACGAACGCUGGCGGCGCGCCUAACACAUGCAAGUCGAACGAGAGAUGAGGAGCUUGCUCUUCAAAUCGAGUGGCGAACGGGUGAGUAACGCGUGAGGAACCUGCCUCAAAGAGGGGGACAACAGUUGGAAACGACUGCUAAUACCGCAUAAGCCCACGGCUCGGCAUCGAGCAGAGGAAAGGAGUGAUCCGCUUUGAGAUGGCCUUCGCGUCCGAUUAGCUAGUUGGUGAGGUAACGGCCCACCAAGGCGACGAUCGGUAGCCGGACUGAGAGGUUGAACGGCACAUUGGGACUGAGACACGGCCCAGGACUCCUACGGGAGGCA
rnacentral:rRNA from 1 species